rnacentral:rRNA from 1 species
GCUCGCAGGCGGUUUCUUAAGUCUGAUGUGAAAGCCCCCGGCUCAACCGGGGAGGGUCAUUGGAAACUGGGGAACUUGAGUGCAGAAGAGGAGAGUGGAAUUCCACGUGUAGCGGUGAAAUGUGUAGAGAUGUGGAGGAACACCAGUGGCGAAGGCGACUCUCUGGUCUGUAACUGACGCUAAGGAGCGAGAGCGUGGGGAGCGAACAGGAUUAGAUACCCUGGUAGUCCACGCCGUAAACGAUGAGUGCUAAGUGUUAGGGGGUUUCCGCCCCUUAGUGCUGCAGCUAAGGCAUUAAGUACUCCGCCUGGGGAGUACGGUCGCAAGACUGAAACUCAAAGGAAUUGACGGGGGCCCGCACAAGCGGUGGAGCAUGUGGUUUAAUUCGAAGCAACGCGAAGAACCUUACCAGGUCUUGACUUCCUCUGACAAUCCUAGAGAUAGGACGUCCCCUUCGGGGGCAGAGUGACAGGUGGUGCAUGGUUGUCGUCAGCUCGUGUCGUGAGAUGUUGGGUUAAGUCCCGCAACGAGCGCAACCCUUGAUCUUAGUUGCCAGCAUUCAGUUGGGCACUCUAAGGUGACUGCCGGUGACAAACCGGAGGAAGGUGGGGAUGACGUCAAAUCAUCAUGCCCCUUAUGACCUGGGCUACACACGUGCUACAAUGGACAGAACAAAGGGCAGC